AUCAUCAAAAAUGUGGUCGUCUCGUGACUCGUGAUAGAAUAGGUAUAAGGUAACACUCCAUGCUGUAUAGCAGGGAAAUAAAACCAAGGAUUUAAGACCUGAGUGAGCAAUCCUAACCACAAGAUAUUCAAGUCUUUACUUGUGCUGGACCUGUCAUCAGCAACAAUUUCAGUCUCAUCAUCGGUUUGGAUAAACAGCAUCCCGUUUGCAUGGAGAAACUACCGAUGUCGAUCGGGUUACGGAUCUCUUGUUGCCUCUUCUUUGAAUGCCCUCGUGUACACCCAUGUGAGUGUGGGUGUAUUCACGAGGACCCCACUUUUCCCUAUCCUGUCUGUGGUGGAUUCAACUCUCCAGCGGAUGGGGCACUUGUGGAUGGAUGCCUGGUCGUAUUUUCCAGCCUUAAAGCGGACGUGAUGUGGCGUUGGCAUCGCCCAGAUCUACUAUGUCGAUGGCCUAAACUCCGGGACGGAACGAACCAAAUAAUAACGACCGACCGUCCGUCCGUCCGUCUGUCUGUCCGGCUAUACAGAGUGGGCCCAGCUCACAUGGCCGACAACCUUGGGAGAUGCAUAGGCAACAGCAGGCGCCGGGACCAGCGCUUCAAAAACGUGAGGGAAACAAACAACAGCCCCAAACGGAGCUGGCUGCACGAUCAUCGCCCCCAAUUUAAAUAUCUCGGACAACCCAGCAGCAGCACCGGCCGGCUCGGCGCUCUUCUCCCGCUAUAAAGGGCUCACGCGUGCAUACUUUAUAUAUCCCCAAGGUCUCUGGCAUGUCUGUCGGGUCCCGGGUUGAACGCACUCGCUCCAUACACACGAGAUAUUUAUUUCCCCAGUCUGUAUAGCAGAAGUUAUAUAUAUAUAUUUAUUUCCCCAGUUUUUCGGAAUUUUCGGGUAGAUUUAUGAACGUCACGUAGGCCUCUCUCUCUCCCGCUUCAUUUGAAUUUCAUUUUUUUUUGUUUUUUUUUAUUAUUGUCCCGCAUUUAUAGCAUUUGAUUUAUUUUCCCGGACGACUGAUUCAGUUUGUAGGCCGUCAUCUUCGAUCGGACGUCCCUCAAUCACAGAAAUGAAAUUGAAUUAUUUACGCUGCUGUUGCAUGGGAAGGAUCCUUUGGGGAGGACGAAACUGAAGAGCUGGAAGCCUCCCAGGUGAUUGCGACGGGCCGAUCCGUUGGCGGAUGACAGCAUCGAAUAAAGACAAUACAAAACGACGGAGAAUAGGACGGCACAGAUGACCUUUAGUGCGCCAAUUUCAUCCAUUUUUCUUUUUCUUUUUAUUACAGGCGCCUCUGUGUGUGUUUUGGCCGGACCUUGGUGAAUUUUUAAUGCCAACUGAAUUCAGUUUUUUUUUUCCUUUUCUUUUUCCGGGGCUGGACUGUUUCCAACUGGAAACGACCAAAAUUUCCCAACGUCGUCGUCGCGAUUUUUUCUUUUUUUUCUUUUACUGGGAAUUUUGGAUCGGAAUUUUAAGGACACGCUAGGGCAUCGGGUCGACGAACAUUUUUUUUCUGUUUGACUCGAGAAAGAGAUUGAAAAUUUGUCCUAAAAAUCAGGGACUAUUUUUUUUAAAUAAUUAAAAAAAAAAAAAAAAAUUGAAAUUUUUUCCACAUUUCGAAUUUGUCCGCUUAAUUUUUUAAAAAAAUAUUUUGUAAAAUAUUUCUGGGAACAACCGCAAUGGAAAUUGCAUUAUAUUUCCCGAGAUAUUUCUGACCAGAGAUAUCGUCUAAAAAUUGACACUAGGUAUAUAGCCUACCAAUAGAAUAGAUAUUAUAGGACAUUUUAUAGUUAACUGCAUCGGGGAUUUCGGCCUCCGUUGCGUCAUUCAUUUUUUUAAGAAAGAAAAAAAAAACCAUUUCUAAAUAUAUAUUUUAGUCCAAUAUAUAAUUACCUACGGGGAAUUGUGAGUCUCUACGUCAACAACUUUAUGGGGUAUAGUAUUUAUUUGUGUAUCGCUGCUAUGCAGCCUUUAAAGAUAGCCCCCCCCCAACAACUCUGAACACAAAUGACGUACAGUGUCCCAAAUGAAUUAUCUGGCGUAGGAUAACUUGACCACUAUUUCUCGCUGGUCUAAAUAUACUCACGUGUGUUGUUGUUAGUAAAUACCCUGGUGAAUUCCGAUAACACUUAUGUAAUUUUCCAUUUUUUUUGUGAAUUUUUAUCAGUAAUUAGCAGUUUAUCUUCGUUUUACUGAAUUCGCCAGUUGCAGUGAAUUAACGAAUAUUAUUUGUUGACUUUUUGAGUCUAAAAAUCAUCUCUGGUGAAUUACGAAAAAAUGUUGCGUAAUAUUUUUGUUUCUAUGAGCAUUUGGACAGUUUGAUGUCGUUGAAUUGAAAUGGCCCAGCUUCAUCGGAAGAUUUCAUCUCCUGGCAGUUGUUUUUCAAUGACAUUCAAGUUCACAAUGUACACAUAAAAACGGCCCGUGUGGGAAUAAGUUCUGUUGAACUUUGUUUAUGCGUACACACACGGCCGUCACACAAGGUUUUUAAAACGUAACGUUUAGACAUUUAUAAUGAAACAGUUUACGACUUUUGGCAUUUGACUUUAAAAUGACAAUGGCCAAAUUAUUCCCACAACUGGGAAUAAACUCGAAUCGCAAUUUGGAAAAAAUAAAAGUCAGAAUAAGAGAAGAGAAAUAAAAGUUGACUCUCAGAUGAAAUUGUCCUAUGCGAUUUCAACUUAAAAUCAAUUGGCGAUUCCAAUGAAAUAAAAUUCAUUUGUGUCAUCAGUCACGUAGGCUGAUGACGUUUCGCCAGUUUAAUGGACUGACCUUUUUUUUCAGGUAAAUUGACGAAAAGAUUUCGGU